AGAAGUUUGCAAAAUUUGAGUUAAGAUCAACGGUUUAUUCAUUAGUUAUUGAGGUUUAAAUCUGUUAUAAGAAUUAUUAGGAUUUGGUUUGGGAUUUAGGAUUUGGAUUAGGGUUUGAUUUAGGGUUAAGGAUUUGGUUAGGGUUUGGUUUAGGGUUUAGGAUUUGGAUUAGGAUUUGAUUUAAGGUUUAGGAUUUGGAUAGGAUUUGAUUUAGUAUUUAGGAUUUGAUUAGGAUUUGAUUUAGGAUUUGGAUUAGGGUUUGGUUUAGGAUUUGGUUUAGGAUUUGGUUUAGGGUUUAGAGUUUGGAUUAAGGUUUGGUUUAGGAUUUGGUUUAGGGUUUAGGAUUUGGAUUAGGAUUUGGUUUAGGGUUUGAUUUAGGAUUUGGUUUAGGAUUUAGGGUUUGGAUUAGAAUUUGAUUUAGAGUUCGGUUAGGGUUUGAUUUAGGAUUUAGGAUUUUAUUAGGAUUUAAGAUUCAAUUAAUUUGGCUUAAAUUUUGAAUGAAGUUCAAUAGGAUUUUAACUAGAAUUAAAUUAAAAUUGAAUUGAGAUGUAUUUGAAUGACAUUUGUGUUCUUUCUAAUGUUUCUUUAAAAAUUCCUAUUGUUUGUUUGAAAUUUCUUUGAGAUUUUUUUGAAUUUGAUUAAGCUUGAUUAGCAUUAUUAUAAUCUAAUUAGAGAAUUGUUAGUAUUCUAUUAGAAUUAAGAUUUUUUUAUUGUAAUUUCUAUUAUUCCUUCUACAGCCAAGUGCCCAGAGUAUUUUCAAGCCAGACUUCACGUAUUACGACAACGUCUUAAGAGAGAGAUGUAAGGUGACAAAGCUUAAGUAUGAUAUUAUCCUUUGUAUGCUAUGGCUAAUGAUGGAAAAUAAAUAAGUUGAUUAUAUAGCAAGGACAAACUCUUUUAAUAAUAGAAGAUGCAAGGUGAUUUUUUACACCCCCACAUUAAGUGAA
rnacentral:lncRNA from 1 species